rnacentral:rRNA from 1 species
AGCGAACGCUGGCGGCAGGCUUAACACAUGCAAGUCGAGCGGGCACUUUCGGGUGUCAGCGGCGGACGGGUGAGUAACGCGUGGGAACGUGCCCUCUGGUUCGGAAUAACUCAGGGAAACUUGAGCUAAUACCGGAUACGCCCUUUUGGGGAAAGGCUUGCUGCCGGAGGAUCGGCCCGCGUCUGAUUAGCUAGUUGGUGAGGUAACGGCUCACCAAGGCGACGAUCAGUAGCUGGUCUGAGAGGAUGAUCAGCCACACUGGGACUGAGACACGGCCCAGAUUCCAACGGGGGGCAGCAGGGGGAAAUAUGGGAAAAGGGGCGCAGGCCUAAUCCAGCCAUGCGGGGGGAGUUAUCAAGGCCUUAGGGUUGUAAAGCUCUUUUACCCGGGACGAUAAUGACGGUACCGGAGAAAUAAGCCCCGGCUAACUUCGU